CCCUUAGAUGUUCUGGGCCGCACGCGCGCUACACUGACCAGUGCAACAAGCAUCCGUCCUUGGCCAACAGGCCCGGGCAAUCUUUGAACGCUGGUCGUGAUGGGGAUAGACUUUUGCAAUUUUUGGUCUUCAACGAGGAAUUCCUAGUAAACGCAAGUCAUCAACUUGCAUUGAUUACGUCCCUGCCCUUUGUACACACCGCCCGUCGCACCUACCGAUUGAAUGGUCCGGUGAAGCCUCCGGAUUGGCGCGCACCUCGGUGCCGCCGAGAAGUUGGCUAAACCUUACCAUUUAGAGGAAGGUGAAGUCGUAACA
rnacentral:rRNA from 1 species